GGCCCAGGAGCGUAAGGGAUAGCGUGUUGGACUUCUCAUCCAAAGGGCGUGGGUUCGAAUUUCACCUGGGAUGGCCU